UCCAGAGUGCGCUCUGGGGUACUUGCUGAGAACAGCAGUGAGCAGUAGCGUGCGAGUGACAGUGAAGAAAUUUCUUCCGCCUCGAUGGAAAUAUAUGACAUGUAGGCUACAUAUAAAGAGCCAAUACUUUUGAAACUGUGAGGAAAACAACGCGCCUUUAGCGCCUGCUUCACUAUACUCGUCACCAUGUCAGUCAGAGCAACCGACCGCCGGAUGAGGUUCUAAGGAUCUAAUGCUUGUGAUAAUCUACAGCAGAUGACCAUGACAAUCCAGGUUCUGUGGAUCGACUGCUUAUGCUAAUCUACUGCAGGUGACCAUAACAAUCCAGGUACUGUGAACUACUGCUUUUGCUAAUCUACCGCAGGUGACCAUGACAAUCCAGGUUCUGUGAACUACUGCUUGUGAUAAUCUACAGCAGAUGACCAUGACAAUCCAGGUUCUGUGGAUCGACUGCUUGUGCUAAUCUACCGCAGGUGACCAUAACAAUCCAGCAGAUAACUUCAGGAUUUAUAGAAGGCAUAUAAUGACAGUGAGCGGGACCAAAACUCUGACAAUCUAAAUCACCUAUAGGUAGCAUAAGUAAUCUAUAUGAUUCAAGUUGCUCAAAUAAUGUCUAGAUGUGUAACGAAUACCUUGCAUGUACAGAGCUAUGUUCUGAAUCUGAUAUACUCCGCUUGUAUUCCCACUGUCAGAUGAACAUUUUAAAAAAUAAAUAUUUUUGCAUU